UGUCAUCCUUUCCUUUCCGUGAAAUUGUUUAUGGAAUAUGAAAGCAAAUUGUUAUUUUUAUUUUAGGCCUAUUACUUACAUAGGCUACACAUUUUCCUUAAAGCAUCCCAUUUUGUCCCAGGGCUUGAAAACCUGUGCCUAGGCUAGUUAGGUCCAUGCAGAAACUUGUGAACGAUGCUCUUAGUUGUGGCAUCACCGUUUAGUGACAUCAUUGAAUGCUCCGGGAAAACGUAUAGUCAGUGUCGGUCACAGCGCCU